rnacentral:rRNA from 1 species
GAUGAACGCUGGCGGCGUGCCUAAUACAUGCAAGUCGAGCGAACGGACGAGAAGCUUGCUUCUCUGAUGUUAGCGGCGGACGGGUGAGUAACACGUGGAUAACCUACCUAUAAGACUGGGAUAACUUCGGGAAACCGUAGCUAAUGCCGGAUAAUAUUUUGAACCGCAUGGUUCAAAAGUGAAAGACGGUCUUGCUGUCACUUAUAGAUGGAUCCGCGCUGCAUUAGCUAGUUGGUAAGGUAACGGCUUACCAAGGCAACGAUGCAUAGCCGACCUGAGAGGGUGAUCGGCCACACUGGAACUGAGACACGGUCCAGACUCCUACGGGAGGCAGCAGUAGGGAAUCUUCCGCAAUGGGCGAAAGCCUGACGGAGCAACGCCGCGUGAGUGAUGAAGGUCUUCGGAUCGUAAAACUCUGUUAUUAGGGAAGAACAUAUGUGUAAGUAACUGUGCACAUCCUGACGGUACCUAAUCAGAAAGCCACGGCUAACUACGUG